rnacentral:rRNA from 1 species
UGCCUUAGUAGCGGCGAGUGAAGCGGCAAAAGCUCAAAUUUGAAAUCUGGCUCUUUCAGAGUCCGAGUUGUAAUUUGAAGAAGGUAUCUUUGGGUCUGGCUCUUGUCUAUGUUUCUUGGAACAGAACGUCACAGAGGGUGAGAAUCCCGUGCGAUGAGAUGAUCCAGGCCUAUGUAAAGUUCCUUCGAAGAGUCGAGUUGUUUGGGAAUGCAGCUCUAAGUGGGUGGUAAAUUCCAUCUAAAGCUAAAUAUUGGCGAGAGACCGAUAGCGAACAAGUACAGUGAUGGAAAGAUGAAAAGAACUUUGAAAAGAGAGUGAAAAAGUACGUGAAAUUGUUGAAAGGGAAGGGCUUGAGAUCAGACUUGGUAUUUUGUAUGUUACUUCUUCGGGGGUGGCCUCUACAGUUUAUCGGGCCAGCAUCAGUUUGGGCGGUAGGAGAAUUGCGUUGGAAUGUGGCACGGCUUCGGUUGUGUGUUAUAGCCUUCGUCGAUACUGCCAGCCUAGACUGAGGACUGCGGUUUAUACCUAGGAUGUU